AGAUUCCAGUGUCCGUUGCUGUGACGACGGGAGUCACCUGAUGCCUUGUUAGACAGUUGUAAGGUUCUAUUGCUGGCCCCAGUGGGGUCGUCAGUAAACUGGAGUGAUGUCCAAACAUCAUUACAUGCUGCUCCAAUAUUAAAGCAAAGGGAUUAGCAACUUAUUGCAAGCAACCUGGAUUUGUCAUUGUGCUGUCGUUAUCCAAUUUCCAACUGCUAAUGUGACUGUAGCCUGCAGGCAGAAGGACCUACAGCCAAACUUUAAAAAAUGGGGGAGAAAAGUUCCCUCCAUUCAUCCCAGUUUUUACCAUUAUUUAAUAGCUUCCAAUACCCAGUUAGGUAUGUGAGAGAUUUUUUUUUCUGCAAUGCUUAAAUGCAGGCUAUAGGAGAAAAGUCAAGAAAAUACAGAAAUUUCCCAAUUAAGAGAUCACUCCUAUUCAUGUCAUUAUUCUUGCUUUUCGAUUCCACCAGAUCUGAAAUGUUUACCCUGUAGAAGAUGGAAUUAUUUCUAUUUGCAUGGAAAACUCAGAAAGCAAAGACAAUGAGCUCAUGAGCAACUUGAGUACAGAUAUCAGCCUUAUUCACCUUUGCAUAUGUCCUUCUGCUCCCAUAUACUCAACCAGUGCCCGAUAUACAAACCAAGAGAGAAGAAACAUCAACAUUUCCUGAAAAGUUGAACUUGUAGCUGUACUUGAAGGACUGUGAGAUAACAGAACUAAAUGUUAGAAGCAGCCUGGUUCCCUGAGUCACCACCAGGAGGGCAGCUACCAGGAGAGUCACCCAACCUUCUUCAGGCUGAGAUGUGAGUAAAACAAAGUUUUUCUAUUCUUAAACAACUGAGAUUUGGAGAUUAUUUGUUAAUUGGAGUA
rnacentral:lncRNA from 1 species